rnacentral:rRNA from 1 species
UGGAACGCUGGCGGUAUGCUUAACACAUGCAAGUCGAACGGUCUCUUAGGAGAUAGUGGCGGACGGGGUGAGUAACGCGUGAGAAUCUGGCUCCUAGGUUCGGGACAACCACUGGAAACGGUGGCUAAUACCGGAUGUGCCGAGAGGUGAAAGGUUAACUGCCUGGAGAUGAGCUCGCGCCUGAUUAGCUAGUUGGUGGUGUAAGGGACUACCAAGGCGACGAUCAGUGGCUGGUCUGAGAGGAUGAAUCAGCCACACUGGAACUGAGACACGGUCCAGACUCCUACGGGAGGCAGCAGUGGGGAAUUUUCCGCAAUGGGCGAAAGCCUGACGGAGCAAUACCGCGUGAGGGAGGAAGGCUCUUGGGUUGUAAACCUCUUUUCUCAGGGAAUAAGCAAGUGCAAGGUACCUGAGGAAUCAUGCAUCGGCUAACUCCGUGCCAGCAGCCGCGGGUAAUACGGAGGAUGCAAGCGUUAUCCGGAAUGAUUGGGGCGUAAAGCGUCCGUAGGUGGCUGUGUGGUGUCUAUUGUUAAAGAGUUUGGCUCAACCAAAUAAGGGCGGUAGAAACUACACAGCUAGAGUGCGUUCGGGGCAGAGGGAAUUCCUGGUGUAGCGGUGAAAUGCGUAGAGAUUCAGGAAGAACACCGGUGGCGAAGAAGCGCUCUGCUAGGCCGCAACUGACACUGAGGGACGAAAGCUAGGGGAGCGAAUGGUGAUUAGAUACCACAGUAGUCCUAGCCGUAACGAUGGAUACUAGGCGUUUGAGAGUAUCGACCCUCUCAGUGCCGUAGCUAACGCGUUAAGUAUCCCGCCUGGGGAGUACGCACGCAAGUGUUGAAAACUCAAAGGAAUUGACGGGGGCCCGCACAAGCGGUGGAGUAUGUGGUUUAAUUCGAUGCAACGCGAAGAACCUUACCAGGGCUUGACAUGUCUGGGAAUCUUCCUGAAAGGGAAGAGUGCCUUCGGGAACCGGAACACAGGGUGGUGCAUGGCUGUCGUCAGCUCGUGUCGUGAGAUGUUGGGUUAAGUCCCGCAACGAGCGCAACCCUCGUACUUAGUUGCCAGCACUUCGGGUGGGCACUCUAAGGAGACUGCCGGUGUACAAACCGGAGGAAGGUGGGGAUGACGUCAAGUCAGCAUGCCCCCUUACGUCCUGGCUACACACGUACUACAAUGCUACGGACAAAGGGCAGCGAGACUGCGAAGUCAAGCAAAUCUCAGAAACCGUAGGCUCAGUUUCAGAUCGGCAGGCUGCAACUCGCCUGCGUGAAGGAGGAAUCGCUAGUAAUUGCAGGUCAGCAUACUGCAGUGAAUUCGUUCCCGGGCCUUGUACACACCGCCCGUCACACCAUGGAAGCUGGUCACGCCCGAAGUCGUUACCCUAACCGUUCGCGGAGGGGGACGCCGAAGGUAGGACUGGUGACUGGGGUG